rnacentral:lncRNA from 1 species
AUUAAUGUGCAUUUUAUUUGCAGCAUAAGUGUGAUCUCGUCAACAUGAGUUAUGGAGAACCUACAAUGAUGCUUGAAUAUGGAUGAUUUGUUGACCUUGUUAAUGAAGUAUGAAUUUCAAAACUUGAUAUUUGAUUGUUGGCAUGACGAUUAAUUUACAAAUUCUUCUCUUAUUAAUCUUGUACGCUCUCUCCAUUAAGCAUUGACCGCUGUGGGCUCACCUGGUGGUACCACUUCACUUAUUGUUGGUGUCGGUGCGUAUGUACUUUCUCCUGCUAUGGCUGCUGGAGCUCAUUGUGUAGUUGAACCUCCAUCUGAAGGCCUCGAGUAUUCAUGGUAUACAAUCUUCCCUGAAGAAAGUUUUUGUGUUUCAGCAAGUUGCUGGCAGUAAAUUAUUCAUUUGAAUCUUAAAGCAUAGCUGAACGAAAUGGGGUGCAGGUCUAGCCAUGAACCAACAGUUGAUGGUGAUCUUUGGGUGUGCAUAAGCCCUCCACGAAAAUUUGAUUUUGCAAGUGCAUUAUGUGUUACCAUAUGAUAUCUUUGUGCUUAUGAAAGUAAUAUUUAGAUGUGAAUGCCAUUUAGAAGCUGCACUUAGCAUACUGAUUAUGUAGUUAUGCAGAUGGUCCUCAUUGUUUGAGGAAACAGGUUUUUCUUGUUGCUUAUUAGUAUUGAGCCCCAUAAAGACUAAAGAGAAAAGUUCAUGAGAAUAAAAUAAUUUAUAUGUUGGCAUGAGUAUUUAUAUUUGUAUCCAGCUAAACACUCUACCUUACACAUCCACCCUAAAACAUCAAUCCUAUUAACACAUUCACUUAAAAAAUUUUAAUAUAUCUAAAAUAAUUUCCUCGUUAUUCUCUUCCACACCUACAUUCUUCUUCCUUCUAUCUUCUUCUUUCAAUUUUUUCUCAACAACAAACCCUAACACCUUUUUUUUUUAAUCAAAUCUUGUUUUCUAAACAAGAAAGUAUUUGAGAUAAGUCUAAAGCUAAUUUUAACAUUUUUUAUACAUUUUUUUUAAUCCUUUCACUAAUAUGACAUUUGUAUGACAUGAAUAUAUUUAUAGAACUUAUGAUUUAUAUAAAUUUUGGCAAAAAUUUGUUGUAAAAAUAGAUGAAAAGUAAUUAAAAAUUAUUUAGAAACGUUUUAGAUGAGAAAUUUUUUGAAAAGUGGAAGGGAAAUGAACAAGAAAAAUAUGUGGUGUCUGAAAGUCGAAAGUAUGUUGGAAAAUAUAGUUUAGUGUAUCCUUUACAAUGUUUGGAAGUAUCAAAAUUGUUGAGAGGUUGGUUUGGAUGUGUUCACCAAUGAGUCAAAGUCCUUGCAUUUUGGAUGAUAGUUAAAAUUUUCAGGUAAAUUAAUUAAGGACAUUUCAAAGUUUGGUAAACCAUAUUAUUCAUAGUCUCUUUCAUGUAUCACAUCAAUUCAAUUUCAUAGAAAUAUCAAAAUUGUUGAGAGGUUUGUUUGGAUGUGUUCACCAAUGAGUCAAAGUCCUUGCAUUUUGGAUGAUAGUUAAGACUUUCAGGUAAACUAAUAUUAUUCAUAGUCUCUUUCAUGUAUCACAUUAAUUCAAGUUCAUAGAAAUAUAAAAAUUGUUGAGAGGUUUGUUUGGAUGUGUUCACCAAUGAGUCAAAGUCCUUGCAUUUUGGAUGAUGGUUAAGAUUUUUAGGUAAACUAAUUAGUGACAUUUCAAAGGUUGAUAAACUAUAUUAUUCAUAGUCUCUUUCAUGUAUCACAUCAAUUCCAAGUUCAUAUAAAUAUGAAAAAUUGUUGAGAUUUUUAGGUAAACUAAUUAGCGACAUUUCAAAGGUUUGGUAAACCAUAAUUAUUCCAUAGUCUCUUUUCAUGUAUCCCCAUCAAUUCAGUUUUAUAAGAAUAUCAAAAUGGUUGAGAGGUUUGNNNNNNNNNNNNNNNNNNNNNNNNNNNNNNNNNNNNNNNNNNNNNNNNNNNNNNNNNNNNNNNNNNNNNNNNNNNNNNNNNNNNNNNNNNNNNNNNNNNNAACACAUUCAAACAAAACUUUCAACAAUUUUUAUAUCUAAUUAGCGACAUUUCAAAGUUUAAAUGAUUACUUUGAAAUGUCGCUAAUUAGUUUGAUUGAAAGUCUUAACUAUCAUCCAAAAUGCAAGGACUCCGACUCAUUAGUGAACACAUCCAAACAAACCUCUCAACAAUUUUCAUAUUUCUAUGAAAUUGAAUUGAUGUGAUGAUACAUGAAAGAGAUUGAAUAAUAUGGUUUACCAAACUUUGAAAUGUCGCUAAUUAGUUUACUUGAAAAGCAUAACUAUCAUCCAAAAUGUAAGGACUUUGACUCAUUGGUGAACACACCCAAACAAACCUCUCAACAAUUUUGAUAUUUCUAUGAACUUGAAUUGAUGUGGUACAUGAAAGAGACUAUGAACAAUAUGGUUUACCAAGCUUUGAAAUGUCGCUAAUUAGUUUACCUGAAAGUCUUAACUAUUAUCCAAAAUGUAAGGACUUCGACUCAUUGGUGAACACAUCCAAACAAACCUCUCAACAAUUUUGAUAUUUCUAUGAACUUGAAUUGAUGUGAUACAUGAAAGAGACUAUAAAUAAUAUGGUUUACCAAACUUUGAAAUGUUGCUAAUUAGUUUACCUGAAAGUCUUAACUAUCAUCCAAAAGGCAACUUUAUUGAUUAACUUUCAUUCUAGAAUUAAUUUAUUGUAGAAUUAAUUUUGAUGAUGAUUAAUGUGCAUUUUAUUUACAGCAUUAGUGUGAUCUCAUCAACAUGAGUUACGGAGAACCUACAAUGAUGCUUGAAUAUGGACGAUUUGUUUCCCUUGUUAACGAAGUAUGGAUUUCAAAACUCUAUUAGUCCACCACUUUUAUUUUUUUUAAUUAUUAACUCUUUAUAUGAUAAUUUUGGAGUAUAAUUGAAGUAUAUUUAGAAAAUCUUUUAAAGUAGAAUACAACAAAAACUUGAUCAUUUAUACACUCAAAUUAACUAACGAAUUAUUAAGAAG